rnacentral:rRNA from 1 species
ACGGAGUACUUCGGUACUUAGUGGCGGACGGGUGAGUAACGCGUGAGAAUCUGCCUUCAGGUUCGGGACAACCACUGGAAACGGUGGCUAAUACCGAAUGUGCCUUAGGGUGAAAAAUUUAUUGCCUGAAGAUGAGCUCGCGUCUGAUUAGCUAGUAGGUGUGGUAAUAGCGCACCUAGGCGACGAUCAGUAGCUGGUCUGAGAGGAUGAUCAGCCACACUGGGACUGAGACACGGCCCAGACUCCUACGGGAGGCAGCAGUGGGGAAUUUUCCGCAAUGGGCGAAAGCCUGACGGAGCAAUACCGCGUGAGGGAGGAAGGCUCUUGGGUUGUAAACCUCUUUUCUCAAGGAAGAAAAAAAUGACGGUACUUGAGGAAUAAGCAUCGGCUAACUCCGUGCCAGCAGCCGCGGUAAUACGGAGGAUGCAAGCGUUAUCCGGAAUGAUUGGGCGUAAAGCGUCCGCAGGUGGCUGUGUAAGUCUGCUGUUAAAUAGUGAGGCUCAACCUCAUAAAGGCAGUGGAAACUACAUGGCUAGAGUGCGUUCGGGGCAGAGGGAAUUCCUGGUGUAGCGGUGAAAUGCGUAGAGAUCAGGAAGAACACCGGUGGCGAAAGCGCUCUGCUAGGCCGCAACUGACACUGAGGGACGA